GUAGGGAAUCUUGCGCAAUGGGCGAAAGCCUGACGCAGCCAUGCCGCGUGAAUGAUGAAGGUCUUAGGAUUGUAAAAUUCUUUCACCGGGGACGAUAAUGACGGUACCCGGAGAAGAAGCCCCGGCUAACUUCGUGCCAGCAGCCGCGGUAAUACGAAGGGGGCUAGCGUUGCUCGGAAUUACUGGGCGUAAAGGGCGCGUAGGCGGACAGCUUAGUCAGAGGUGAAAGCCCAGGGCUCAACCUUGGAAUUGCCUUUGAUACUGGCUGUCUUGAGUUUGGGAGAGGUGAGUGGAACUCCGAGUGUAGAGGUGAAAUUCGUAGAUAUUCGGAAGAACACCAGUGGCGAAGGCGACUCACUGGCCCAAUACUGACGCUGAGGCGCGAAAGCGUGGGGAGCAAACAGGAUUAGAUACCCUAGUAGUCC
rnacentral:rRNA from 1 species